GAACUUGAGCUCAGAGGGAAAGUAUUUGCUUUGGAAGCAUAAGGUCUCUGGUUCAAUUCCUGCCAUCUUCA
rnacentral:tRNA from 1 species